AAACUUCAACAACGGAUCUCUUGGCUCUGGCAUCGAUGAAGAACGCAGCGAAAUGCGAUAAGUAAUGUGAAUUGCAGAAUUCAGUGAACCAUCGAAUCUUUGAACGCACAUUGCGCCCGCCAGCAUUCUGGCGGGCAUGCCUGUUCGAGCGUCGUU
rnacentral:rRNA from 1 species